CCUUGAUUGCAAUGAGACUAUCGAAUUCAUAUUUCAUGAUGAUGCUAAGAAACACGACAGGGGUGCCAAGAAUCGUUACACUUGUUGAGUUGUAUAGGUGCUGUAAUGGGAAGGCUGGAGAAAGCUGCUGCUUGGAGCUGGAAUGCUGAUUCUAGUCUUAUUGGUGUAGUGCUGUUGCUGAAUUUCUGUUUUGAUGCUAAUGAAAAUCAUUUUUGCACUCUUUGAGCUUACAAAAUCUAAAGAUACAUUCUUAUAUUUUAUUUGAUGGGUGUUAGCAUUUUAGUCAA